UUCAUCAUACAACAAGGUCGCGAGUUUAAUUCUUUAGUCCAACAAUUUUAAUAUUUUAGCCUUUAAACUGGAAGUACUGAAAAUAAAAAGAAAAUGUUGUGCUACGCAGGAAUCGAUCAUGGGUCGUGCGGACAGAAGUACUGGUUCAGACCAGUGCAAUCAAGGAUGCCUCUUCCGUCAAGAGUGAGAUGCGGUGGUGGGGUAUAAAUGCGGUCAACAGGGAGCUUGAUUGGAGCUAAGGGGGACCGACCGCCCAAAGCCGAGAGAGAGUGUAGGCGGGCGUUUCCGAAGACAAAAGCGCCUUUAGAUAUGUUUGGCUAACGGGGACCCUGCCCCUGCCCCUGCCGGCUUUUGAUUUGCAUUACAAGACGGCCGCUGUUUUCUCCAAUUUCUUGUUGGUUAAUUCUAGAACGCGCUUCUGUCUAUACACGUGUAAGUGACCUCUUUCUUAUGUGACAACACUAUUACUACAUGUUUCUUUUGUUAUUUUUGGUUUAUUUCUU